CCUCAGCAAGGGCAGGCGGGGCUCAGGCGGGGGAAAUGAGCGGGCCGGGACCCAGGAGGAGGCCGGGAACCUGUGCGCCCGGGACGGCUCGGGGUCAGCUCCCUGCUGGGCCGUCAUGGUGGUAACCGUGCAGCCCCGCAUUAGGGGCCCAGUGGUGAACUACACGGAGGUGGACGGAGCUCGGAAGAACUACCCCGCCCGCGCCUUCCAGCAAGGAUGCUGGCAACGCGUGAGUACUCACAAAGGGGCACACACGCAUGCGCACACACACACACGAGUGCUUAGAAUGCUGUGCACCUUCCGAGGACGCACCCAAGAACAGGACACAGGACUCCAGCGGAGAACUGUGCCCCAGGGGCCGGGGGCAGGGGCACUAGCAGGGGCCUGCACACCCACGUUCCAGCACAAGUAUUCACAGGAGCCCGGGGACACAAGCCGAGUGUUCGUGGACAGUGUGGUUACUCAGUCUUCAAAAAGAAGGGGUCUCUGACACACACAGCCCAGAUGGACCGGGAGCACCGCGCCCGGCACGACCAGCUGGUCACAGAGACAGAUUAUGCACGAUCCUCUUAUGAGUCCCCAAGAGGAAGUCUCAGGUUUGCAGACAAAAAGCAGGACGGGAUGGCAGGGUGGGGGGCCCCAGGCCCUCCUGCCUGGCUGCUCUGCUUCACCUUCUUCUGAGUCCCUGCUCCCCUCCAGGGGUUUGGUGACAACUGGACAAAGCCCUUUGCUCCUGCUCCAGCCCAAGAGACGACACUGGGGGCAGAGAUGUGACCCCAGGCAGCACGGCUCUGUCAGAGGGGACAGGAAGGACGGUGCGCAGUCUACACAGGGCCCCUCUGCUGGCUUGGGACCGUCCCAGGCCCCUGCUCUGGGCCCCUGGAGCCACCCCAGGGCCACCUUGUCCUCCUGAGCGCUUGGCCUGGCCAGGUAGGGCAGAGGGGGCCGGGCUUGGGUCCUGCAGCAGCCCCACACCCUGUGUCUGCCAUGGUCAAAGCCAGGGCUGUAGGGCAGAGGAAGGGGCGGCCACCUGAGUGACCCUGAGACUGAACACUCAGUGGCAGAGGCAUUUUUGGAACUUAUGGUGACAGAUGCCAUCCCUGGGAGGUCAGCUCUGCCAGAAGAAAGAGCGAUGGCUCUCAAAUGCCUCCAAAUGCAGCUCCACCUCCUGCGACCCACCGGCAGCUCCUCUACCAGGGCUGGGAGGUCCUGUUGGGUCCCAGGAUGCCGGCUGGUGAGCAGCGCCCUGCCGGGGCCCAGGGCGGGGCCCCCUGCUCCUGCCUGCCCCACCGCUCUCCAGGCUGCAAGCUGCUUAAUUGCUCUGCACCCCGGCCUCCUCCUCAGCCUCCCUGGGAGGAUAAAUGGAGAUUACAGCUUUGGAGCGCUUAGCAAAGGAUUUCACUCUGGGGAGACUUCAGGAUAGGCCUGGGAAACACCCUGCAGGCGGGGUUUGGGGCCCUGUGGCCCCAUCCUGGGAAGCCAAGGCCUGUGAGGCUGAGUCGGGUCUGCACUCCUGGGUCCUGUAGCCCCUGCAGGGCAGCGCUGCCCCACUUUUGCAGCCGGAGCCCCAGUCCUAGAGCUGGGGAGCUGAUGUGGUGAGGUGCCUCCCAUGGUCCUCCUUCCCUACGAAGUCUCAAGCACCUGGCUUGUACUGGACGGCAUCACCCACCCCAAGGGUGCCCGCCCCUCCUUCCCAUCAGCCCAAGUCAUGCAGCCCCGGAGAAGCUGGGGCAGCAGCACCUCCUCCCGGAAACUUGCCUCGCCUGCGCGCUCAUCCGCUUAUCCCGCUACUGUCCUCCCAGGGCCCACACGCUGGGUCUCCACUGGGUGCCAGGGAUGGGGAGGGGUCCCUAUGCCCCAAACAGGGUGCUCACCAGCUCCACCUCCUGCGACCCACCGGCGGCUCCUCUACCAGGGCUGGGAGGUCCUGGGUCAGGGCCUGGCCAGUGGGGAUACACAGGGGCCCGGGCUCAGGAGUGUCAGGCUUGGGUGAGUCCAGCCUCUGGGGACCCUCAGGCCUCUCUGUCGGGGUGUUCAAAUAGCAGCGCCUUGAGCCCUGGGGCUGAGCAGCCCCGCCCGGAAGUGUGUCCCAACAGGGAUGAGGCUGAUCACCUCAGGGGAGGAAACUGAGGCUCAGAGAGGUGAAGCGAGGUGACCAGGCCACACAAGCACAGGGAUCGAAGGCUAAGCCAGGCUCGGCCCCCAGCACCAAAGGCUUGUGCAAGCCUCUGUCCCCGGCCCCCAGGGACACGGGGGCCAGGGGCAAGGUCAGUGAUCGUCCCAGGUUCCAUUUCCUGGACAGCUGGGAACCUGCCCAGAAGGCAGCUGAUGGCCCGAAAGCCAGAGAAGGUGCCACGUGACGUGCGCAGGACGGGGCUUCCCCGCACCCUUCCCUACCCAGCCCAGCCCAGCCCAGCCCAGCCCAGAGUCACGAGCCGGGCACGCACUGCUGCGGUCCGCCCCUCGGGUCAGCCAGGGACUGCUGUGCCGAGAUCCGAGGGUUAUUUUUAAACGCUGAAUUUGUCCAAGCCUAGAAGGGGAGGGGGAGGGCAAGAGGAGAACCAGAGCUGGGGAAGAGGAAUUAAACCCCUCCAUGGACAACACCCGGCUCUGCUGGGCAGGGACAAAGCAGCUGGAGAGCCGCUGCGCCGGCUGGAACCAGCCACGGGCGGGGGGCUGAGCUGUGCUCCAGGUCCUCACCACGCUCUGUACGUAGCAGAUGCUGAGUAGGCAUGGCUGCCACGGGGUAGGAGCUUACGACCACUCGGCCCAAGCAGAAUGCAACGGCACACACUGGCCAUCCCAGCAUUCAGGAGGCUGAGGCAGGAGGAUUGUGGGGAGUUAAGAGCAAGGGGUGUCCAUGGAGACCCCCACCCUCCGCCUCCGUCUCCCCAGCGGCCCGCUGCACCAGGAGCUAAAGCAGCCUGAGGUCCCAGCGGCAGAGACACCCAUGGAGCGUGGGUCACCCGUGUCAGCCAGAGGAGGAAGGGCAGACGCAGAUGCCAGCCCCGGGUGGCACCCACCAGGAGCCCUGGCCUCCAGCCCAUUCUUCCCCGGGGUGGGGAGCCAAAGCUCUAAGCCUCAGUUUUCCGACCGCACUGGGGGUGACACACCCAACUUCAAGAGCUUGGGGCAUUGGUUUAUUCAUUCAUUAAAUACUUCCUUCGCUCACUCAUUCUUUUAUUCACCCGUUCGUUCGUUCCUACCUGCUGAGCUGAUGCUGGGCUGGGCACUGCAGACCUGGUUCUGCACCAGUUGUGCAAAGGCCCUGAGGCAGGAUGGAGCAGGAUGGGGUGUGGGGGGCAGGAAGGAAGGGAGCUGGCAUGGUGGGUGUGACACCCGCCAUUCACAGGCGCCCACGGAGGAGCCAGCAUGGCCGGCCCUGUAUCAUCCCAUGCUCAGCCCAUGCAGCCCCACAAGAAGCCCAUUUUCUAGAUGAACAAACAAAGGACCGUACACACCACUGGGGUCAUGGUCAGAUCCCUCCCUCGGCCCUCAGUCUUGGGGUCACUGGGGGUCGGUGGGCUCCUGUGAGGUUUGUGAGGGUGCAGCUGGCCCCCAUAUUUUCCCUGUGAGCAAGGAAACUGGGCUGAGGGGACAGCUGGGCCAUCCGUGGCUGUCACCCCUUCCCCUGGCAACAGAGGGUCCUCCCGCCAGCAGGGCCACCCCAGCCCAAACCAGGCAACGUGUCCCGAUGGUCUGGACGCUGCUCUAGGCUCCCUAGCCCCCGUGGCUCUCUCGCCUGGUCCUCUCCACACCCCUCGCUGGCAUUUCCUCUGUGCCCAAUGCCACAGCCUGGGUGGCAUUUGGAGUUAGGCCCGAAAGGAGGCCACACCCCUCCUGGAAUCCUGCCUGCCCAAGCUGGGCCAGAGAGAAACCUCCUUUUAUAUCCUCCCUGGCAUACAGUGUACAGG